UACAGAGGGUGCGAGCGUUAAUCGGAAUUACUGGGCGUAAAGCGCGCGUAGGCGGCUUUGCAAGCCGGAUGUGAAAUCCCCGGGCUUAACCUGGGAACUGCAUUCGGGACUGCAUUGCUAGAGUAUGGGAGAGGGAAGUGGAAUUUCCGGUGUAGCGGUGAAAUGCGUAGAUAUCGGAAGGAACAUCAGUGGCGAAAGCGACUUCCUGGACCAAUACUGACGCUCAUGUGCGAAAGCGUGGGGAGCAAACAGG
rnacentral:rRNA from 1 species